AUCUGAGGGGGGAAAAGCGCUUAUUAAGCUACAGCGCCACCGGAACAAGUAGAAGGGAGGGUGGAAAGGUGAUCAGAGGGGGAAAAACAAAAAUUAUUCUCCUAUACACUCUUCCUCUGAUGAGUGCAGAAGCCUUUGUACGUUUGCAAGGUAAUUUACAGGCCUUGAGGAACUGCCUGCUUCUGAGGGAAUCCCCCCCCGCAGAACCCUUACUCAGGUCAAAGAUGUCACAGAAGUUACCUGGUCAUGGGAACCGGCGGCUGAGCCGGCACUCGGAUGAACUGAACGGCAGCAGUGAUGGGAAGCAGGCUGGCCGUGUUUUCACAGGAAAGGCUGCACUGGAACUGCCAGAUGACUGUUGAGUAACUGGAAGCACACGUGUAAGUGUUACCAGAGGGCUGCAUGUGGAAACUGAAAGCUUAAACAAAGCCAUGAAAGGAGUAUUUAGGAGGAGGCUGAUGAUCUCUGGAUCUUCACCACCGUGGAAAUGGGGCAGACUGAACACAAUCCUAUUAAUUUGCUUUGGAUUGACUUGGGGAAAAAAGAUAAAAGGAAAAAGAAAAAGAAGUGUUUGCUGUAUAGAACCUCCCCGGUUCAGGAAAGAACAAAUCAUUUACCACAGCUUUUCUGCUGAUUUCUCAUUUCAGGAAAUACACACAUCUAAAUUUCAGCUUCUCAUUGCAAUCAAAGGAAUUUGGGUCCCGAGUGCAAGAAAAAGGCACAUGCAAAUCAGAAGUAACAUCUUUAUCAGAUUUGAUCUGGGUAUGACACAUAAGCAAGUCUCAGAAAUGAAACAUUCCUUUAUCAAAGACACAGCUAUGCUCUACCUGAUCUGCACAGCAAGUAUCUCUUCCCUGGGGAUCCCCUGCACUGCCCCCACAGCUGCAAAAAUGAUGCGAAUGUUCAGACUGGCAGGAACAUCUGG